UACGUAGGGCGCAAGCGUUGUCCGGAAUUAUUGGGCGUAAAGAGCUCGUAGGCGGCCAGUUGCGUCUGCUGUGAAAUCCCGGGGCUCAACCCCGGGCGUGCAGUGGAUACGGGCUGGCUAGAGGCAGGCAGGGGAGAACGGAAUUCCCGGUGUAGCGGUGAGAUGCGCAGAUAUCGGGAGGAACACCGGUGGCGAAGGCGGUUCUCUGGGCCUGUACUGACGCUGAGGAGCGAAAGCGUGGGGAGCGAACAGG
rnacentral:rRNA from 1 species